UAUAAGGCCUACUGCUACUAAAUAGGCACUGGUAUAAAUUUGACACUGUUUUUGAUGCAUAUACAAAACUUAAAUUAUUACUACACUUUAGUAUUUUUAUGCCCCCCUUCAAAGAAAAGGGGGUAUAUUGCUUUGCACAUGUCGGUCGUUCGGUCGGUCUGUCGGUCGGUCAGUCCGUCCACCAGGUGGUUUCCGGAUGAUAACUCAAGAACGCUUAGGCCUAGGAUCAUGAAACUUCAUAGGUACAUUGAUCAUGACUCCCAGAUGACCCCUAUUGAUUUUGAGGUCACUAGGUCAAAGGUCAAGGUCACUGUGACCCGAAAUAGUAAAAUGGUUUCCGGAUGAUAAUUCAAGAACACUUAUGCCUAGGAUCAUGAAACUUGAUAGGUAGAUUGAUCAUGACUCACAGAUGACCCCUAUUGAUUUUCAGGUUACUAGGUCAAAGGUCAAGGUAACGGUGACCCGAAAUAGUAAAAUGGUUUCCGGAUAAUAACUCAAGAACGCUUAUGGCUAGGAUCAUGAAACUUGAUAGGUAGAUUGACCAUGACUCGCAGAUGACCCCUAUUGAUUUUGAGGUCACUAGGUCAAAGGUCAAGGUCACGGUGACCCGAAAUAGUAAAAUGAUUUUCGGAUGAUAAUUCAAGAACGCAUAUGCCUAGGAUCAUGAAACUUUAUAGGUAGAUUGAUCAUGACUCGCAGAUGACCCCUAUUGAUUUUGAGGUCACUAGGUCAAAGGUCAAGGUCACGGUGACCCGAAAUAGUAAAAUGAUUUUCGGAUGAUAACUCAAGAACGCUUUUGCCUAGGAUCAUGACACUUCAUAGGUACAUUGAUCGUGACUUUCAGAUGACCCCUAUUGAUUUUCAGGUCACUAGGUCAAAGGUCAAGGUCACAGUGACAAAAGUCGUAUUCACACAAUGGCUGCCAGUACAACGGACAGCCCAUAUGGGGGGCAUGCAUGUUUUACA